ACUGUCCUGCCCUGUACGCGAACGGUUGCAUUUAUAACCCUACAACCAUAUUUUUGGGAGCUCGGCUCUUUCGGCGGGUGUGCAGGCCUCCCGCUUCAUGCGGACGUUGGAAGCCCGAAACCGAUAGGAGAGCACCCACCUGCUUUAAUUGCAGGUUAUCAAUUGCCCGAUACGGCAGGGUGGGCAAAUA
rnacentral:other from 1 species